UAGACUAAGGUUCGAUUCGAGCGCAGCGAGAAAGCGUUGCCGCAGGCAACGACCCGAAGGGCGAAGCGCGCAGCGCUGAGUCAUCCUUCCCCCACCACCA
rnacentral:sRNA from 1 species